rnacentral:sRNA from 1 species
GCGGAGGAAAAGAAACCAACAGGGAUUGCCCUAGUAACGGCGAGUGAAGCGGCAACAGCUCAAAUUUGAAAUCUGGCUCUCUUUGGGGGUCCGAGUUGUAAUUUGCAGAGGAUGCUUUGGCAUUGGCGGCGGUCUAAGUUCCUUGGAACAGGACAUCGCAGAGGGUGAGAAUCCCGUACGUGGGCGCCUGCCUUUGCCGUGUAAAGCUCCUUCGACGAGUCGAGUUGUUUGGGAAUGCAGCUCUAAAUGGGAGGUAAAUUUCUUCUAAAGCUAAAUACCGGCCAGAGACCGAUAGCGCACAAGUAGAGUGAUCGAAAGAUGAAAAGUACUUUGGAAAGAGAGUCAAAAAGCACGUGAAAUUGUUGAAAGGGAAGCGCUUGCAGCCAGACUUGCCCGCAGUUGCUCACCUAGGCUUUGGCCUGGGGCACUCUUCUGCGGGCAGGCCAGCAUCAGUUUGGGCGGUCGGACAAAGGCCUCUGUCAAGUAUCUCCCUUCGGGGUGACCUUAUAGGGGAGGCGUAAUGCGACCAGCCCGGACUGAGGUCCGCGCAUCUGCUAGGAUGCUGGCGUAAUGGCUGUAAGCGGCCCGUCUUGAAACACGGACCAAGGAGUCUAACAUCUAUGCGAGUGUUUGGGUGUCAAGCCCGGGCGCGCAAUGAAAGUGAACGGAGGUGGGAACCCUUUGGGUGCACCAUCGACCGAUCCUGAUGUCUUCGGAUGGAUUUGAGUAAGAGCAUAGCUGUUGGGACCCGAAAGAUGGUGAACUAUGCUUGAAUAGGGUGAAGCCAGAGGAAACUCUGGUGGAGGCUCGCAGCGGUUCUGACGUGCAAAUCGAUCGUCAAAUUUGGGCAUAGGGGCGA